rnacentral:lncRNA from 1 species
AAUUACACAUUGUCCUUUAUAAGAGUUGCCUUGGUCAUGGUGUCUGUUCACAGCAGUAAAACUGUAACUAAGACAUGGAGGAAAUUGCAAAACAACACAAGAGACUUAAAAGGUCCUCACAGAGAAAAUACAGUAUAAAAUAGUAGGCAAAUCCAGAUGUAUUGGAAACCUCAACAGUUAUCAAGGUGCUUUGGAAAGUUUCCUGAAUUGCUUUCUUGAACAGCCUGCACAGGGAGGAAAUUUCUCAUCAUGUCUCAUUCUGUGUCCCAUGGAAGUCAGGCUUUGCCCUCCGUGUUCCCUGCUGCCUCUCUCCUUUGCCUACACACUGCCAAACCACUUAGGUCCUUCCUGUCACUUUUACUUCCCUCUAGCUCAGUCUUGUUCUCUCUAAAGGUUGGAUGGUAGGCCUGGAUCUUGACAGUAUUUCCCACCCUUAGAAGUCUAUGUUAUCUCGUGUACAGCCAGUCUCAGGGACCAGGAUGAGGGCAAGGAAGCCAUGAGUUAGGGCACCCACUCUCAUGUAGCUGAAACAAGGUUGGCUGGCUUGUUUUUGCCUGGGUGUAGAUACAGCCUUGGGACUGGUACUAUGGCUAAAGUUGGCCCAACGCCAGGACAGCAGUAUUCUCCCUACCAGGUACAGCAGCUUCCAUCCUUUAUUGUCUGCACCCUUCCCUGACCUCUAAUACCCAACAUGGAAUUGCCUUCCCUACCAUUUUUUGAGACAACACCCACAGAUAAAGGCUGCAGUGGCACUGGCAGAGGCCAGCCAUGCUGUUAACCAUGUGUAUCCAACUGUCGUCAAAGGCCUGCGUUAAGACAGGAAGCCUCCCUGAUGUUCUGAGCACAAACACUUGAUGAGAUGAAGACUUCUGCCCCUGGCAGACUCACUUCUAAAAAAAUGUGUUGAACUUGAUGCCGCCUUUACACAUGCUAUGCGGCUGCGGGCGUUUCAGCUACACAGUGAAAUCAUUAGCGGGGCCUUCACAGCUAGGAUUGCACCCGUGGUGCAAUCCCGGUUUCCUAUGAGUGCCAAACAGAUGCUACCUAGAAAAUGUAUUCACAGUUUUGAGAGAUCUUGAUCACAUCCGUCCAUGGGGUGAUGGUCACUAGGAGCCCCAUGUGUGUUUAAUGUAAACCAAGAGCAUCACUUUUAUUAAGUGGUGGAGACCAACUUGUUUAACAAAGGAAAUAUGGAAGAGGCUCCUGCACCCUAUUCCGCAUAGUCAUCAUGUGGGAUGCUGGUGGAUCAGCAUUCGGUUACUAGUUCUAGCCCACUGGCCUGUCAGCUCUGCCUAACAGGGUGGGGGUGGGGGUGAGGAUGGGAGUCAGCCCUCUUCAAGAACAUGGCAUGUAGGUAGAAGAGAUGGAUGAAGAGCAUACUGUCACUCUCCGUGGGCAGGGAGCUGAGCAUCUCCUCACCAGCUGCUCCAUGGGUGCAAAGAUGCUGCCAGUGUUUAUGAGAACCCAGCACGGAGGCAUGCUGGUGCAGAGUGCUCCAGAGAGGUGAUGCCCCUGCUUCUCUGCCAGGGUGCGUAUGCUUGGCAUUGGGGUUUUGUCUGACGCCAGCCCUCGCUGCAUGCACUGAGCCACUGGGAUCAGCCCUCAACUGUGUUUAACUCACCCGGUCAUCAGAGGUCUAAGCUCCAGGGUUCCAGGAGUGCUGCAGGGUAUUUGCUGUCUCUUGUCAGCAUUCACAAUGUUUUCUUCAUUCAUUCUGUGGCUACAGUUAAAUAGACUCUUCAAUGGUUAAGAUUGGUAGGUAAGACUUAGACUUUGAAGGAAAGUGGUCCCGUUAAGACUGUACCUAGAAUGUUAUGGUCAGGAGCUCAUGCUGCUUUUGCAUGCUCCCACAGGUCUGCUGUAGCCCACAAUGUGGACAGCCAUGGGCCCUGGUCCUGAGACGUGAUGGGGAUGACGGUUGCUGUUCUCACGUGACUCCUGGUGCAUUGUUUCGUCUGAUUCCUAGAACCAUGGCUUUAGGGUGGUUUACGUCUAGAUGCUGUAGGGUACCUUCUCUCAGUACUCUGGGUCAGCAUGCAGGUACCAGUCUGUUGUGUUUUCAGAUCCCAUGGUGGUUCUUCUUACCGUAUCUGGCUGGUGGUCUCCGUAUGAAGGGCUUUAUGAUGUGUGUCAUAGUGAAGCGGGGAGAACUGAACCUGUCACACAAGUGAGAAAAGUGAGGCGUUACAUCUCUUGGGGAAGGCUGCUCACAGCCCAGUGACUGAGUCUAAAGUGCAACCAAGUAAAGUCUGCAGCUUUCUCAUUAGAAAGUCACAUCGUGUAAUGAAUUCCGUGAGAAGAUC